rnacentral:rRNA from 1 species
UUCCAGACUCCUACGGGAGGCAGCAGUGAGGAAUAUUGGUCAAUGGCUGUAAGGCUGAACCAGCCAAGUAGCGUGAGGGAAGACUGCCCUAUGGGUUGUAAACCUCUUUUAUGCGGGGAUAAAGGUGUCCACGUGUGGAUGUUUGCAGGUGCCGCAUGAAUAAGGACCGGCUAACUCCGUGCCAGCAGCCGCGGUAAUACGGAGGAUCCGAGCGUUAUCCGGAUUUAUUGGGUUUAAAGGGAGCGUAGAUGGGUUGUUAAGUCAGUUGUGAAAGUUUGCGGCUCAACCGUAAAAUUGCAAUUGAUACUGGCAGUCUUGAGUACAGUUGAGGUAGGCGGAAUUCGUGGUGUAGCGGUGAAAUGCUUAGAUAUCACGAAGAACUCCGAUUGCGAAGGCAGCUUACUAAACUGCCACUGACAUUGAUGCUCGAAGGUGUGGGUAUCAAACAGGAUUAGAUACCCGGGUAC